UACGUAGGGGGGCAAGCGUUGUCCGGAUUUAUUGGGCGUAAAGAGCGUGUAGGCGGUCAGGUAGGUCCGUUGUGAAAAACUCGAGGCUCAACCUCGAGACGCCGAUGGAAACCAUCUGACUAGAGUCCGGAAGAGGAGAGUGGAAUUCCUGGUGUAGCGGUGAAAUGCGCAGAUAUCAGGAAGAACACCCGUGGCUAAGGCGGCUCUCUAGUACGGUACUGAGCUGAGAGCGAAAAGCGUGGGGGAGCGAAACAG
rnacentral:rRNA from 1 species